rnacentral:rRNA from 1 species
AGCUCCAAUAGCGUAUAUUAAAGUUGUUGCAGUUAAAAAGCUCGUAGUUGGAUUUAAGUUUGUUUGUGCGUUGUGAUCGUGAGAUGACGAUGCAUUGAGCAGACAUUAUUUGGGACUUGGGGUUUCUUGGCAUUCAGUUGUUGAGAUUCAACUGCCCAUCGUUUACUGUGAAAAAAUUAGAGUGUUUAAAGCAGGGGUUUUUCCUUUGGAUAUAUUAGCAUGGAAUAAUAAUAUAUGACUCGUAUGGUCUAUUUUGUUGGUUUGCACAUAUGAGUAAUGAUUAAUAGGGACAGUUGGGGGUAUUCAUAUUUGAGCGUCAGAGGUGAAAUUCUUGGAUCGCUGAAAGAUGAGCUAAGGCGAAAGCAUUUACCAAGGAUGUUUUCAUUA